UUGUUUAUUUUAAGGCAGAUAUAUUUUUGGAAGCGAUUUUGUUUAACAAUCAAGAUUGCUUAAACAUGCUGCGUACACUUUCCUAAAAUUACUGGAAGUGUAAUAAACGUAAAUUAUUCAAAUAUCGUUCAAGAUAUAAACAGCCGUGAAAAUAAACAAAGGGUGUGGCAAAACAAACACGGAAACACAAUUCAUAAAAUGUAUAUUUACGAAAAGCUUAAGUCUAUGUAAUAAAAUAAAAAAGAAUGCCUGCCUUUUUAAAUAUCGUUAUAUUCUAACUGGCAUAAACCGAGGCCGUAUUAAGAGGCACUUUUAAUUACGAAAAAGUCCAAUUAGCAGGAAGGGCUCGGGUAUAAUCCUUGCGGUCACUGGGCAAGCUCAACUCGACGUAAAUAACUAAGGACUAUCGCACACUAAACUGGAAAUAAGACGAAGGAGCGAGGAAGAAUUUAGGGUAAAGUACCUUUAGUCGUACCAGCGCUUAAGUCGUACCACGUCGAUAUCUGCGCACCCGUCAUGAAAAGAUGGCAUCUAACAGUGCAAUAUGGUUCUACUAAGUACCACGGGUAAACAGCAACACGCGGCGGCUUGCCGGAAUUCGCGAUCAAAAAAAAAUGAAAAAGUGAUCAAUAUGGCAAAGAAAAUUUAUAACUCUUGGAAGCAAGAUGACAUAGAUGAACACAAAAAGGAACACAAUUCACAAAUAAAAAAAGAAAGAUAGACAGAAAAUCUAACAAAGAUAAGAAACUAGAUGCUAAAGAAAAUUGGUUGUGCAAACUAACAACACUAAACAAGAUCGCAAAGAAAAUAUGACCCUAUGUAUUAAAUGCAAAGGAUGGGUACAUGAUUUAUGUGCAGAUCUCGAAAUUAAAACUAAAAAUUACAUUUGUGAUAUAUGCAUUU